GGGGAUGAGCAGGGGUGGACAGCCCCUGCCUCCCCAUGCUCCUGGUCUGAGGCAUGUUGUGUGCGGAUUCUGAAGAGCCUUCAGGACGGAACUCCAGCGGCCCACAGCUGCAGCCCACCGUCCCUGGCUCCUCCACCCGAGACUCACUUCUCCCUUUUGUGCUUCCUGGUACCCCAAAGUCACUGCUUGCUAUCCCAGUGGCCCACGUUUGUGGAUUCGGCUAACCAUGGAUGAAAGAUAUUUUAAAAGUUUGAUCUGAACACGUCCAACCUUUGCUCUCUUGUCCUGUUCCCUAGGAUCCCGGGAAACACCCACAUACACAGAGUCCCCAGCUCAGCCUGGUAGGCGGGCUCUGUCCUCUGUGAGUGCUCCGUGGGGUUCUGAUGUCCUUGGGGUCCUGGAGCCAUCCCUUGCAGAUACUGAGGGACGACUGUGCUUGUGUGCUCUGGACAUGGACUGACGUGGAUGCAGGUGAGACGUUGGGCCUCAGGAUCCAGAGCUGAUGCUGGUAAAAUCUUUCAGGACCCUGGGGUGGCGUGGACGCGCUGUGCAUGUGAAAAGGUCACGGGUUGCAGAGGGUCAGGGCGGGGAGUUACACCUGAGUCUGCGUGUCCCCCCUAAGCUCCUGUGGAUGCCCUGGCCCUCCAUGUGAUGUGCGCACAGGGACCUUGGGAAGUGCCUAGAUUUGGAUGAGGGUGAACCCAGGGAGAGGUCAGCGUCUUUUGGGAAGAGGAAGAGACACUACAGGUCCCGAUUCACAGUCAUUUGUAAGCCAGGCACGGAAGUUGUUGUUCCCUUGAUCUUGGAUUUCCCACCUUCCAGGUGUGAGAGAGACGAUCCUCCUGUGCAAGCCACUUGGCGUAGGGCAUUUUGAGGUGGCCUCCCAGGCUUGACACGGCGUCUGAGUCCUUGUCUGACAGUCCCUGGCCUUCCUCCUGUCCUCGGAAGUCUAAGCCGAGAGUCGCUGGUAACCCAUACGAUGCAGCAGUGAUGUUGGGGUGGUGCGCCCAGACCACCCAGAUUCCCCGGGAGAAGGCCUGGUUCAAGGUGCUGGGAUCCCGACGCCGUGCUGGAGAGGCCACCGUAGCUGCUCUGCCUGCCGAGUGCCCAGCAAGCCCAGGGCAGCUGACCUUCAGGAGCAGCGAGCAGGAGACCCCAGCAAGGACCACCGCCCCUGGCUUCCUGGGGGCUCCCCAGCAGAAUCGCCACAGGAGGGCCUUCCACCACCCAGAGGGGGUCUGACACCGUGGGCGGUGCCACCCCAGGAAUAACGGGCUUUCUAGACGUAGUUCUGAUGAAUUUCAGUUUAUAGAUCGGGCACUGUGAGAGUUGGCCACAAUAAGGAGCAAUGAACUAGAACAGGGACAACAGUUCCCAACUGUUCACUCUAACGCCAGUUACUUAAAACUUCUAC
rnacentral:lncRNA from 1 species